ACUUUCUGCAAAUCCACUAAUGCUUUUAUUCAUCAGUGGAUUUGUAGAAAGCUU
rnacentral:pre_miRNA from 1 species